rnacentral:rRNA from 1 species
CCUACGGGGGGCUGCAGUGGGGAAUAUUGGACAAUGGGGGGAACCCUGAUCCAGCCAUGCCGCGUGUGUGAAGAAGGCCCUCGGGUUGUAAAGCACUUUCAGUGAGGAAGAACGCCUGGUGGUUAAUACCCAUCAGGAAAGACAUCACUCACAGAAGAAGCACCGGCUAACUCCGUGCCAGCAGCCGCGGUAAUACGGAGGGUGCGAGCGUUAAUCGGAAUUACUGGGCGUAAAGCGCGCGUAGGUGGCUUGAUAAGCCGGUUGUGAAAGCCCCGGGCUCAACCUGGGAACGGCAUCCGGAACUGUCAAGCUAGAGUGCAGGAGAGGAAGGUAGAAUUCCCGGUGUAGCGGUGAAAUGCGUAGAGAUCGGGAGGAAUACCAGCGGCGAAGGCGGCCUUCUGGACUGACACUGACACUGAGGUGCGAAAGCGUGGGUAGCAAACAGGAUUAGAUACCCGUGUAGUC